GCAGUAGCUGAGUAUAAAAAAGACAUUUUUUGAAAUACCCAAAUGGCAUUACCUCCUCCUUGUACUUCACCUUCACCAGAAAGGAUCCAAGUAAAUUAUUUCAACAGACUGAAAGGUCAAAUGCAGAUAAGUGAACAAGAAGCAAAAACAAUUUUCAUGUUUUGUAAACAUGCCAAAAUGCCUUCAGUGAACACUGGACCUCUGCAUAGACCCUAUUUCCUUUUGCAACUCCAUUUGUAUUUAGCACAUGAAGAUCAUCUACACCAUUCUAUCCAAUACUAGAACAGUGUGGGAUGCAAGGGAAAUUUCUAAGAUGACCAUGCUACUCUGGAUCUUCCUCAUUCCCAGGUAUGAUUUUUCAGAUACUCUGCCCUUGGUGGAUGUUUUGUUCAACUAACAUCUGGGACCAGGGGACAAACCUCCAUUUUUUCCCAUUAAGCUCAGAAAAUUGUUUCUGCUGAGGGUAGGUAGAUGUAGGAAUUGGCACCUCCAUGCUGCCCUUGCAUCUGUGAAGCACUAUGGCUAAGAUGACUCUAGCUUAACCUGGGCAUUCUGGUCUCUGAUGCUGUGGAAGGGGCUUCAAAGAUGCCAGGGAGGUUUCAAAUAUAUCUGUGGGUUGAGUUGACUUUAUACCCUGUAGGAUAGCAUAUCAAAGCCUUUAUAAAUCUACUGGAUCCCACUGAAAAAAAUUGCAAUAUAAAUACGCUAAGUACUUUGCUCCAAAGUCUGAAAAACAUGACUUAGUGAGGUGUGGGGUUAGAAAGAGAAAUCUGCCAAUUAGAUUUGAGUCAAAAGUGGCUUAAGUAGCACCCGAAUGAGUAUAACUAUAUGUUGGUAAAGAGGUGGCAAUGAAGAAUUACAAUUUCUGUCUACUCAUACACAUAUUUUUCUUUAUGUGGAGGUCUUUUAAGAAUUUUUUUUUAUAUUAGAAAUGGAAAAAAUGGCCUAGGUACAAAGGUAGCUCUUUUCUUCUCAAAUCAUAACUUCAUGUCCUAUUUUCAUUUUUGAGGAGGAGUCAGUAUAAAUCAUUUAGAAAUGGACUUGCUGACAUUGUUAGUGUUCAUUAUGGAUGUCUAUGAAGUAAAUAAGUUUCAGAAUUUUGUUCCUUUGAGAAACAAGUCUAUUGAUGAAGAUUUGCUUUUUUUAUUAUAUGAAGCUGUCAUAACAUGGAAAGCUAAAUACCAUAUUCUUUUUGGUAAAAAUAACUAAUAUUUGUCAAGCAUUUACAAUAUGCCAUGAAAGCACUGUGCUAAAUAUGUAUGUGUGUGGUGUGUAUAUAUAAAUAUAUGGUCUUACUAAAUUAUCAUUAUGAUUAAAAAAAAAAAACUAAGUGCUAUAUGCUGUUAUUUAUUUUACAGAUGAGAAAAAUGAGGCACGGAGGUUCUAUGAACCCAGAUCACAAGGAUGUGAAGUCAUAGAGCUAGGGUUAAAGCCAUUCUGAUGCCAGAGGCAAUGAUUCUUAAUUAUUACAUUCAUCUGAAAUGGAGCAUAUUCUUUGUAUUAUGUAUUGUCGUAUUGAUUUUCUAGAUAAAAUAUUUUCUCUUUUUCUUAUUUUUUUAAAGAUUUUAUUUAUUCAUCAGAGACACAGAAAGAGAGGCAGAGACCCAGGCAGAGGGAGAAGCAAGCUCCACACAGGAACCCCGAUGUGGGACUUGAUCCCAGACCCCAGGAUCAUGCCCUGAUCUGAAGGCAGAUGCUCAACUGCUGAGCCACCCAGGCAUCCCUUUCUUUCUUUAUUUAUUUUGAUAUCAACAGAUUACUGGGCAUUGUGGUUUCUAGAAAAAAAGAAGAAUCUGCUUAAAAGAUUCUUUUUCUACCAAUUGCAUAAUAUCUGAGCUUAUACAUAAGGAAGUUUGAUUUCUUUUGUCUAGGAUCCCUUUAAAAUACCAAUACUGUAGAACUCUUUAGAUUGUUUCCACUCAUUUCUUACUUAAUUGAAUUAAGCUUUUCAGAACCUUUGUGACCAUUCCUUUUUAUGGGAAAGAAGAAAGGAAAGCGUGUACAAAUACUUGCUGCUUACAGCAUUUCACUGACUAGGAGUAAAGGGAAAAUGGGAACAGUUUUGCUUAUAUUUGACCCAAAUGUUCUGUCUCUGGCUUUCUUAAAAUUCAUUCUAAAAUUUUAUAAUUAUGUCUCCAAUACGCUAAGUUUUGACUUAAGGAUUUGGCUUCUCCAAAGCCUUUCAAAUACUCCAUAAGACCAUUAUAAUCAGAAAUUUUAGGAGUCAUCAAAAAAUAUUUUCAAGUUGCGAUAUGUUAAGAAAAAUAUGACUUGAAAUCAGGUCUGAGUGGUUAAUAGUUAAUUAAUUUAAAAUUGAUUAAAUUAGCCAUGAUUUGUUAAAAUAUCUGCAGGAAUCUUAAUUCAAGUAAUCUUCAAAUACCAGAAAGUAAGAAACCCAGUUCAAAUAAGAAAGGAAAAAAAGAUCAAACAUCAGAAAAAAAUUUUAAUGAGUGAAAUAUCUUUAAACACAAAGAUCUUAUGUUUUCUUCUUAUUUUAAAAAAUAUUUAUUAAUGAGAGACACACAGAGAAAGGCAGAGACCUAGGUGGAGGGAGAAGCAGGCUUGCUGCAGGGAGUGCAUUGUGGGGACUUGAUCCCGGAACCCCAUAUUCACUACCUGAGCCAAAGGCAGAUGUUCAACCACUGAGCCAUCCAGACAUCUCUUAUGUUUUGUUUUAAAAAGACUAUCUAUCUAGCUGCUUCUAAGGGAACCAGCUAAAAUAAAAAUGAAUCUAAAUAGUUGGACCCAUAUGAACCAAGAAAUGAUAAGCAGAAAAGAGGAGAAGGGGGAAAUCUUAAGGAGGAACCGUGUUCAUGGAGACAUGGAGGCAAAUCUACCAAAAGAUAGGUCAUGAGUAAGUUUGCACCUAAACUACCUUUGAAAUUUGAAAAGCAACUAGAAUUAGACUACAACUAGAAAAAACAAGAAUAUAAUAUAUAUAUGUUAUAUAAUAUAUAAGAAAAGACUAGACCAAAUAAGAAAAUAACCAAGGACACACAGAUUUUGAAAAAUACAGUUAAGUUUAUUAUAGAUAGCUAAAAUUGAGAAACCUGCUCAGCAAAAGAUACCACAUAUCCAAUUUAGAAUAUAGGCUUGAGGAAAAUAUUUACAGUAUGAAUAAUAGAUUAAUAGCCAUGAUAUUUAAAGUUCUUCUAGAAAUCAACAACAAAUCAAGGAAAUACAAAACAAAAUUAAAGCUGAGAUAAAAAUAUUAUUACCUGAUUAAAAUGAUUGGAAAUGUUGGUAAUACCAAGGAUUAUUAAAAGUGUGGAGCCCCAGGUAUUUUGUAGACCCUGCAAUAGGAACAUAAAUGUGUGGAGUAUCUUAGCAAAUGUUUUACCAGGAUUCAUUUUUCAAAAAUUCUGUCCCAUAACACAUGUCCAAAGGUAUUUAUUACAACUUUAUUUAAAAAGGUAAAAAAAUAUGGAAAUAAAAUAGGCAAAGUGAACUUGGAAUUAAAAAAAUAUAUUUUUAAGUUAAAAUUUUAAUAAAAGGUAGUACUGUCAUACUAAACAUAAAAGAUGAGCUAGAUCUUUGUGAGCUGAUAUGGAAAUACUUCAAUAUAAAUUGAGAAGAGCAAGAUGGAGAAAAAAAUUAAUGCUUAUACACAUGUGCAUAUAUGUAAACACACACACAUGUGAAGAUGUAAGCAUAUAGAUGCACACAGGAGAACAAAGCCCCAGGGAUAUAUUUACAUUUAACAUUGUUUUGACACUGACAGGGAAGUGGGUAAGUAGAUGGAGUAGGGAGGAACUUUGGUACUUCCUUUAAAAGUCCUUUAUUACAUUAAUUUUACAAAUAUAUAUGAAUUCUGUAACAUAAUCAGAGAAAGAGUUAAACUGCAUUUUGUGAACCUGAGCAUUCAAAAGGCCACCCAGAAGUUCCUCUUUUUAUUUUGAGCUUUUAAACUUUUCCUUGUAUUAAAAAAUUUUUU
rnacentral:lncRNA from 1 species